rnacentral:rRNA from 1 species
GACGUAGGGCGCGAGCGUUGUCCGGAUUUAUUGGGCGUAAAGAGCUCGUAGGCGGCUUGUCGCGUCGACCGUGAAAACUUGGGGCUCAACCCCAAGCCUGCGGUCGAUACGGGCAGGCUCGAGUUCGGUAGGGGAGACUGGAAUUCCUGGUGUAGCGGUGAAAUGCGCAGAUAUCAGGAGGAACACCGGUGGCGAAGGCGGGUCUCUGGGCAAUAACUGACGCUGAGGAGCGAAAGCGUGGGGAGCGAACAGG